AACGAACGCUGGCGGCGCGCCUAAUACAUGCAAGUCGAACGAGAAGGUGUAGCAAUACACUUGUACAGUGGCGAACGGGUGAGGAAUGCAUGGGCAACCUACCCUCGAGUGGGGAAUAACCAGCCGAAAGGUUGACUAAUACCGCGUACGCUUCCGGGUCUCCGGAUCCGGAAGGAAAGUCACACCGUGGGUGUGACGCUCAAGGAUGGGCUCAUGUCCUAUCAGCUUGNGGUGAGGUAACGGCUCACCAAGGCAACGACGGGUAGCUGGUCUGAGAGGACGAUCAGCCACACUGGCACUGCGACACGGGCCAGACUCCUACGGGAGGCAGCAGUAAGGAAUAUUGCGCAAUGGGCGAAAGCCUGACGCAGCGACGCCGCGUGGGGGA
rnacentral:rRNA from 1 species